CCCCGAGACGGGGAUUCCCCUCCGCGGGAAUGUCGGAGCCGUGAGCCGCCCCAGCCCACAGCGGCCGGCUACGGCGGAGGGGCGCGCAGCUUCACCCUCAGGGCCCCUCGGCCGCCCGCCCUCGCCUUCCGCUCGGGUGUAAACGGACUGCGAGGGGGGCUCCUGCACACCAUCUCUGGGGAAACCUGCUUUUCCGGGCCCUGAGGCCCUGGGGGAGGGGUGCCCGCGUGCGCCUGUGUGUGUGUGUGUGUGUGUGUGUGUGUGCGCGCGCGCGCGGGUGUGCCGACGCGGGUGUGUAAGAGGGAGGAUGUCGUGGCUCUGGUCCUCCUGCCGCCCGGGCUGGGGGAGGAAUGGGGAUCCCGGAAGGAGGAGCCUCCCCUGCCUGACCCUUCCUGUCCCUCCUCUUUUCGCCCAGGUUCUGGUCUCUUGGAGAUGAGCCCUCUCUGCCUCUCAAGUUCUUUGCCCUCUGCUCCCCAAGGCUGCCCAAGGCCCUCACGCUGGCUGCCACCCCAGCCUCUCUGUCCCCUCAUUCCACCGCCGCAGUAACACCCCACAGGGAAGCACCCUGCGCUCCUCCGCCGUUUUCACCACCACCCGCGGGCGGGCUGCUGCUUCCCUGUUCCCUCCGGACUAAGCUCCUCUUCUCAGCCUGUUGCUGGGGUCCCAGAGGAGCACCCAGCUGAAAGGAAUCUGAGCUCCAUACCUGAUGCCAAGCUUAAGAUGGGACCACCUCUCCGGCCGCAUCUAAAGCACUGCCAGCAGUGCCGAAGAGCAGGCGGGCCCCAGGGACACCACACUGCUGCCCUCUGCAGGUAUCCAGAAGCCAGUUUAUCCCACUUCUGCGCCCUGUGGGAACGCAGCCACGUCUUCCCCAUCCUGGAGUUCCCUUGGUGUGCCCCUCCCCUCAGCCCCGGCCUCACAGGUUGCCAUGCCGCACAGGCCUCGCCCACCCAACCCAGCGCCCUGAGGCCUGGUGGGGCAGCUCUGGCAGCCCUGCGCAGGGAUCGGGCGAUUCAGGCAGCAUACAGGGCCAACACUCUCUUCCUUUUCUGCACCAUGGCGCAGGGUCAGGUGAAAAGCAGGCUCCAUGCGGGAAUGUCCAAGCCAUACGCUCUGCCUCAGCAUCUGUGUCGUCAGGAGGAGAAGGUUGCUGUCCACUGCACAGUCUGUGGGGGAAAGGCAGAAGAAAUCCUGGAGAGAGGGCCAGGGUGUGAGAGUAUGAAUUAAGGAAGAAUAAUUUCUCCGAUACUGGAAACCUUGCUUUUGGGAUUCAGGAACACUCGAUGUGGGCAUCACACGUGAGCAGGCACUGGUGCCUGUGGUCUGGACUUCCACAUGGUGCCGGGCAGGCCAGGUUUCAGCCUCGAAGACGAGAGGCCCAGGGCAGGCUGCUCUGCGGCCCAACACCGACUUAGCAAGGAAGAGGCCACGAGCUGGUUCCAGCGGAAGUACGGUGGGAUCGUCCUUCCUGUGAAAAGGCCAAUAAAACGUUUUCAGUGGAAAAAAAAAAGAAUACAGGGGCAGAAAUGCAGCUCGGUCAUAGAGCACACACCUAGCAUGCGUGAGGUCCCAGGUCCGAUGCCCAGCACCAACAAAUAAAUACAUGUGUAUAGGUUUAUACACAGAGACAUAGAUCUGGUGGGAGGGUGAACAGACCUUAAAAGUGUGUGUGUGUGUGUGUGUGUGUGCGCGCGCGCGCGCGCGCCGCUAAACACCUUGCUGAGAGGAGCUCAGUGGGAGAGGCCCUGUCUAGCAUGCUAAGAGCCCUGGGCCCCAUCUCCAGCAAUGCAAAUAAUAAGAGGACAGAAAAAAAAAAUAUUCGGCGCCAUGGCUUUCUGCUUCUCGCUGGCUUCCUCUCCCACUCCUGAGCUGUGAGGCGCUGCUCCAUUGUCUGAACGCCUUAGCCUCUCACGGCAGCGGGAAGAGUCCUCUGAAAGCCAGUCUGGCCCACUGCCCAGCCCAGCCCCUUCGCCACACCCGUGCCUCCGCUUCAAGUACUGCGGCGGCUGCGGGCCAGGCCCAGCCAAUCUCUGUCCACUUGGCUGCAGGCUGGGGCUGUCCCCAGGCGGACACCAGCUCCAUGCCUUCUCAGCACAGCCCCUCGGCAUGCCUCCGUUGCCCUCGGCACAGUGGCUGAGCUGAGAUCAUCCGUGUUUCCUCCCUUUAUCCUGGAGACCCAGCUCCAGACCCAGCACACCGCCAGCAGCAGUGGACAUGUGCAGAGCGAAUGGCUGGACAUGUGUCUGUCCAGAACCAGAACCUUUCUGCCCGAGGGGAGUGGACUCUGGGGCCACCUGCUGCUCGUCCAUUGAUUGUAUCAGGGGCGCCACUUAGAAACGGCCCCCAGAAACAGGAGUUUAGGAAAUGCAGAGUGACCCCAGUCCUCGACCAAAUGUCAAUGUAGCAAAGUUUAAAAAGGUCCCUCAGCAGUGUACCUGUCACAGGGGUGGCUUCCUCCUCCCGGGACGAUGAAAGCAAAGAGCAAACAGAGGAUAUCUCUGUUUGUGACCAAGAACUUCUGGAAGUUGACAAGGAACCCUUUCUUUUGAACUUAUUCUGGCAGCAAACUACCGAUGCAGAAAAGUUCGUUUGAGUUACUGUAAGACGCUGCCAGUGUGGUCAAGAGGGAAUUCUGAGGAGAUCUGCAAUAUCAAAAUGACUUCAAUAUCAAAAAUGACUUCACUGAUGAGGAAGCAAAGGGUACAAAGAGGACCAGUGGUGUGAAGAGAAAAGAAAUGUCGUCCCAACCAGGCAGGGUGACAUAUGCCUGUAGUCCCAGCACUCAGGAGGCUGAGGCAGGAGGAUCACCAGGAGUUCAAGGCCAGCUUGAGCAACAUAGUGAAUCUAGGCUGGGGAUUUAGCUCAGUGGCACAGCGCCUGCCUGGCAAGCACAAGGUCAUGAGUUCGAUUCCUGGUACCAGAAAAAAACCAAAAGAAAAAAAAGAAAACAACCUAGUGAAUCUAGGCCAGCCUGAACUGCAUAGUGAGACAUAGUCUCAAAGAGAAAGAAAAAAGAAAGAGAAAGAAAGAAGGAAGGAACGAAGGAAGGAAGGAAAGAGAAGAGGAAAAGGAAAAGAAGUGUUGUGCCCAAAGCUGUGACACUAAGGCUUGUUUCAAACACUAGCUGCACUGCUCUGUCCGUAACUGUGAACAUUAGGCAGACAGCAGACAAACACAGCUGCACAUCCCGUGUUAGAACGGUGUCGUCCUUGCCACGUGUGCAGUUUGGGCACAGAUCAAAGCGAUGGCUGAGUUUCUUCUGGUUGAACAGAAGUUGCUCUUUUUCUGUAGUCUGGAUAAAAUCAAACUCUGGUUAUCUGCAGAAAGUGACAUCUUGAGCUUUCUUACUUUUUGUAAAGUGACUUCUGCUUAUUG
ensembl:lincRNA